UCUUAAUCUCACUGAUAUCUGGCUCCCAGA
rnacentral:piRNA from 1 species